GACGAACGCUGGCGGCGUGCCUAAUACAUGCAAGUCGGACGCACAGUCUAUACCGUAGCUUGCUACACCAUAGGCUGUGAGUUGCGAACGGGUGAGUAACGCGUAGGUAACCUGCCUAUUAGAGGUGGAUAACUAUUGGAAACGAUAGCUAAUACCUCAUAACAGUAUGUAACACAUGUUAGAUGCUUGACAGAUGCAAUUUCAUCGCUAGUAGAUGGCCCUGCGUUGUAUUAGCUAGUAGGUAGGGUAAUGGCCUACCUAGGCGACGAUACAUAGCCGACCUGAGAGGGUGGUCGGCCACACCGGGACUGUGACACGGCCCAGAAUCCUACGGGAGGGAGCAGUAGGGAAACUUCGGCAAUGGGGGGAAGCCUGAACGAACAACGCCGCGGGAGUGAAGAAGGUUUUCGGAUCGGAAAGAUCGGUUGUUAAGGAAGAACGAGUGUGAGAAUGGAAAGUUCAUACUGUGACGGUACUUAACCAGAAAGGGACGGCUAACUACGUG
rnacentral:rRNA from 1 species